rnacentral:rRNA from 1 species
CAGCAGCCGCGGGAAUACGAAGGGUGCAAGCGUUAAUCGGAAUUACUGGGCGUAAAGCGCGCGUAGGUGGUUUGGUAAGAUGGAUGUGAAAUCCCCGGGCUCAACCUGGGAACUGCAUCCAUAACUGCCUGACUAGAGUACGGUAGAGGGUGGUGGAAUUUCCUGUGUAGCGGUGAAAUGCGUAGAUAUAGGAAGGAACACCAGUGGCGAAGGCGACCACCUGGACUGAUACUGACACUGAGGUGCGAAAGCGUGGGGAGCAAACAGGAUUAGAGACCCCCGUAGUCCCUGUCUCUUAUAC